rnacentral:rRNA from 1 species
GUCUUUUUGAAUUUAAUUUAAAGUCUAAUCUGCCCACUGAUAUUAUUAAAUGGCCGCAGUAUUUUAACUGUGCAAAGGUAGCAUAAUCAUUAGUCUUUUAAUUAAGGGCUUGUAUGAAUGAUUGAACGAGAUAUAAACUGUCUUAAAUAAAAUAUUUUGAAUUUUAUUUUUUAGUUAAAAAGCUAAAAUAAUUUUAAAAGACGAGAAGACCCUAUAGAUCUUUAUAAAACAUGCAUUUAUUUUUUUUGGUUAUCUUUUAAAUUAAUGCUUUUUUUUAUUUUAUUGGGGUGAUAUAGAAAUUUAAUAAACUUUCUAUAAUUUUAAAACAUAAAUUUAUGAUUAAUUGAUCCUUUAUUAAUGAUUAAAAAUUUAAGUUACCUUAGGGAUAACAGCGUAAUUAUUUUGGAGAGUUCUUAUCGAUAAAAUAGAUUGCGACCUCGAUGUUGGAUUAAGAUUAAUUUUGGGUGUAGUAGUUCUUAAAAUUAAGUCUGUUCGACUUUUAAUUUCUU